GAUAUGAAGAUGAGAUAUGAGUUUGGGAUUUGGAAGAGGGGUAUCGACACGAGAAAGAAGGGGAGCCGAAAACCCUAGAUCGAACUGACACUACCUUCCUCUCUAGAAAUCGAUGAUCGAUAUUUUAUUUCCCUUUCUCGGUCACUCAUCUAAACAUCUUCUCUUCGUGUGUGCAAGGAACCAAGAAUGGUUGGGAUAUUAGGAAGGGCGGUGGCUAAGAAAAGCGAAAUCGGCAUAAAAAAUGUUGUCCUCACUGCCAUCAACCACUACACACCACCAUCACAUCGGAAGAAAUACCUCAAAAACCCCUAAUAUGUACUCUCCAUUCUUGAAUCAGGUACCCCGAAGGGUGGACUACAUAACAAAGCUACUUUUAUUCAUAAUAUCCCUAAAAAAAGUAUCAAGUUGCUGAUUAUUCCAUCUUUUAAGGGUAUUGUGACAUUAUUUUAUCUUACAAUUGAAUUUGUAAAAUCUAUGGUUAGAUUGU